rnacentral:lncRNA from 1 species
AUAAUGUUUAUCCAGCCUUGCAGCCGAAAGAGAACACUUGGAAGAGAUGCCCGUAAUCUUCUUGACUAUUUCAAAAAAAUGCAAGCGGAAAAUCCUGGUUUCUACUAUGCUAUUCAACUUGAUGAUGAAAACCGCAUGACAAAUGCUUUUUGGGCUGAUGCAAGAUCGAGGAUAGCUUAUAGUCACUUUGGUGAUGCUGUUAUUUUUUAUACCAUGUAUAGACCAAAUCAAUUCCAGGUUCCAUUUGCUCCAUUCACAGGCGUAAAUCAUCAUGGACAAAUUGUUUUGUUUGGCUGUGCAUUACUCUUAGAUGAGUCCGAGUCUUCCUUUACUUGGCUUUUCUGAACCUGGCUAUCUGCAAUGAAUAAUCGCCCUCCAGUUUCUAUGACAACUGACCAGGAUAGAGCUAUUAAGGCAGCAGUCAACCAAGUAUUACCGGGUACUCGUCAUUGCAUCUGUAAGUGGCAUAUCUUACGAGAAGGGCAGGAAAGAUUGGCUCACAUAUAUAUGGCUCAUCCUUCAUUUUAUGGGGAGCUGUAUAGCUGCAUUAACUAUUCUGAGACUAUUGAGGAUUUCGAAUUAUCUUGGGCCUCUAUACUUGAUAGGUAUGAUCUCAGGAAAAAUGAGUGGCUUCAAGCUGUAUAUAAUGCUCGCAACCAGUGGGCUCCUGUAUAUUUUCGAGAUACUUUCUUUGCUGCACUUCCCUCGAACCAGGGUGUAACCUCCUUUUUUGAUGGAUAUGUGAAUCAACAGACAACUCUACCAAUGUUCUUUAAGCAGUAUGAAAGAGCUUUAGAAAGUUCACUUGAAAGGGAAAUUCAAUCAGAUUUUGAUACAAAUUGCACCACACCAAUGCUAAAGACCCCAUCUCCAAUGGAACAACAAGCAUCUAACUUCUACACCAAAAAAGUUUUUGCAAAGUUUCAAGAGGAACUAGUUGAAACUUUUGCCUACACUGCCAAUAAGAUUGAUGGUGAUGAGAGACUAAGCAAAUUUAGGGUCGCAAAAUAUGAACAGGAUGACAAAGCAUACAGUGUGAUGUUGAAUCUUGAAGAGAUGAAAGCGAGUUGCAGCUGCCAUAUGUUUGAGUAUUCGGGCAUCUUGUGUAGGCACAUCUUAACCGUCUUCACAGUGACUAAUGUUCUUACAGUUCCGUCCCAUUAUAUACUUAGGAGGUGGACAAAGAAUGCAAAAGUUGGACAAGGAUCAGAAGAAGACAUUGUUAAACAAGGAAUUAAUUCUCUCUCUUCACGUUUCAACCACUUAUGUCUGGAAGCUUUAAGAUAUGCGGAAGAAGGGGCAGUUUCAGUGGAGACCUAUGAUGCAGCUAUUAGUGCUUUAAGAGAAGGGUUGAGUAAGAUUUCUAUUGUUGCGAAAAAUAUUGUAAGACCCCCUAGCUCACAGGGAAGUGGAAGUACUCAGGAUGAGAGCUUAAAAAGAACUCUGGCUACUUCUGAUACCGCACCAGAAGAAGGGGCAGUUUCUGUGGAGACCUAUGAGGCAGCGAUUAGUGCUUUAAGAGAUGGGUUGAGUAAAAUUUCUGUUAUUGCGAAAAAUCUUGUAAGACCCCCUAGCUCACGGGGAAGUGGAA